GACGAACGCUGGCGGCGUGCUUAACACAUGCAAGUCGAGCGGUAAGGCCCUUUCGGGGGUACACGAGCGGCGAACGGGUGAGUAACACGUGGGUGACCUGCCCUUAGCUCUGGGAUAAGCCUGGGAAACUGGGUCUAAUACCGGAUAUGACUCCAUGACGCAUGUUGUGGGGUGGAAAGCCUUGUGCGGCUAGGGGAUGGGCCCGCGGCCUAUCAGCUUGUUGGUGGGGUGAUGGCCUACCAAGGCGACGACGGGUAGCCGGCCUGAGAGGGCGACCGGCCACACUGGGACUGAGACACGGCCCAGACUCCUACGGGAGGCAGCAGUGGGGAAUCUUGCGCAAUGGGCGAAAGCCUGACGCAGCGACGCCGCGU
rnacentral:rRNA from 1 species